GAUGAACGCUAGCUACAGGCUUAACACAUGCAAGUCGAGGGGCAGCAUGGAAGUUUGCUUGCAAACUUUUGAUGGCGACCGGCGCACGGGUGAGUAACACGUAUCCAACCUGCCUCAUACUCGGGGAUAGCCUUUCGAAAGAAAGAUUAAUACCCGAUGUCAUAGUCCUACCGCAUGAUGGGAUUAUUAAAGAAUUUCGGUAUGGGAUGGGGAUGCGUUCCAUUAGUUAGUUGGCGGGGUAACGGCCCACCAAGACAACGAUGGAUAGGGGUUCUGAGAGGAAGGUCCCCCACAUUGGAACUGAGACACGGACCAG
rnacentral:rRNA from 1 species